rnacentral:rRNA from 1 species
GCGCGAAAACUCCGCAAUGCGGGCAACCGUGACGGGGUUACCCCGAGUGCCCCGAAGAGGGGCUUUUCCCCGCUCUAAAAAGGCGGGGGAAUAAGCGGGGGGCAAGUCUGGUGUCAGCCGCCGCGGUAAUACCAGCCCCGCGAGUGGUCGGGACGUUUAUUGGGCCUAAAGCGGCCGUAGCCGGCCCCGUAAGUCCCGGUCUAAAGACCCGGGCUCAACCCGGGGAAUGGCCGGGGUCCUGCGGGGCUC